GAUGUCGUACCGCCACAUCUGGCAGAUGUACAAGGAUCAGUCUGAACAGCGGAGGUGGUAGCAGGAGCUGCGGCGGUAUUUGUCCUGCAGGUGUCUUGAGCGGCUUGCCAGAUGCUUUGCGGGUGCCGGCCCCGUGCGAGUGUCUUGAGCGGCUUGCCAGAUGCUUUGCCGGUUGCAGCAGAAGAGCAGCAGCUCACUGAAGGAGAAGCCCGGUCACGUUGUCAUCUUCCCCAUCGAUGUCGUACCGCCACAUCUGGCAGAUGUGCAAGAAGUCAGAGGUCCUCUUCUGGACAGCAGAGGAGGCCAGAGUGAAGAAGAAAAGCAGCAGCUCGCUGACGGAGAACCCUGGCCACGUCGUCAUCUUCCCCUUGGAUGUCGUACCGCCACAUCUGCGAGAUGUACAAGAAGACUGAUGCAUACGUCGGGACAACGGAAGAGACUCUGACACGAGGGGCAUGGAGAAACCUGUUUUUUUUUGUUGUUUUUUUGAGGUUGUUCAUCGUUAAAGUACCAGUCUAAGGAGCUUGGAAAGAUGAGCUUCUAGAACUUGUAUGUGAGGAGCAGGAGCUCCCUGAACGAGAACCCCGGCCACGUCGUCAUUUUUUUGAGGUUGUCCGUCGACAAUGUACCAGUCUAAGGAGCUUGGAAAGAUGAGCUUCUAGAACUUGUAUGUGAGGAGCAGGAGCUCCCUGAACGAGAACCCCGGCCACGUCGUCAUUUUUUGAGGUUGUCCGUCGUCAAUGUACCAGUCUAAGGAGCUUGGAAAGAUGAGCUUCUAGAACUUGUAUGUAAGGAGCAGGAGCUCCCUGAAGGAGAACCCCGGCCACUUCGUCAUCUUCCCCUUGGAUGUCGUACCGCCACAUCUGGCAGAUGUACAAGGAUCAGUCUGAACAGCGGAGGUGGUAGCAGGAGCUGCGGCGGUAUUUGUCCUGCAGGUGUCUUGAGCGGCUUGCCAGAUGCUUUGCGGGUGCCGGCCCCGUGCGAGUGUCUUGAGCGGCUUGCCAGAUGCUUUGCCGGUUGCAGCAGAAGAGCAGCAGCUCACUGAAGGAGAAGCCCGGUCACGUUGUCAUCUUCCCCAUCGAUGUCGUACCGCCACAUCUGGCAGAUGUGCAAGAAGUCAGAGGUCCUCUUCUGGACAGCAGAGGAGGCCAGAGUGAAGAAGAAAAGCAGCAGCUCGCUGACGGAGAACCCUGGCCACGUCGUCAUCUUCCCCUUGGAUGUCGUACCGCCACAUCUGCGAGAUGUACAAGAAGACUGAUGCAUAGGUCGGGACAACGGAAGAGACUCUGACACGAGGGGCAUGGAGAAACCUGUUUUUUUGUUGUUUUUUUGAGGUUGUUCAUCGUUAAAGUACCAGUCUAAGGAGCUUGGAAAGAUGAGCUUCUAGAACUUGUAUGUAAGGAGCAGGAGCUCCCUGAAGGAGAACCCCGGCCACUUCGUCAUCUUCCCCUUGGAUGUCGUACCGCCACAUCUGGCAGAUGUACAAGGAUCAGUCUGGACAGCGGAGGUGGUAGCAGGAGCUGCGGCGGUAUUUGUCCUGCAGGUGUCUUGAGCGGCUUGCCAGAUGCUUUGCGGGUGCCGGCCCCGUGCGAGUGUCUUGAGCGGCUUGCCAGAUGCUUUGCCGGUUGCAGCAGAAGAGCAGCAGCUCACUGAAGGAGAAGCCCGGUCACGUUGUCAUCUUCCCCAUCGAUGUCGUACCGCCACAUCUGGCAGAUGUGCAAGAAGUCAGAGGUCCUCUUCUGGACAGCAGAGGAGGCCAGAGUGAAGAAGAAAAGCAGCAGCUCGCUGACGGAGAACCCUGGCCACGUCGUCAUCUUCCCCUUGGAUGUCGUACCGCCACAUCUGCGAGAUGUACAAGAAGACUGAUGCAUACGUCGGGACAACGGAAGAGACUCUGACACGAGGGGCAUGGAGAAACCUGUUUUUUUGUUGUUUUUUUGAGGUUGUUCAUCGUUAAAGUACCAGUCUAAGGAGCUUGGAAAGAUGAGCUUCUAGAACUUGUAUGUGAGGAGCAGGAGCUCCCUGAAGGAGAACCCCGGCCACGUCGUCAUUUUUUUGAGGUUGUCCGUCGUCAAUGUACCAGUCUAAGGAGCUUGGAAAGAUGAGCUUCUAGAACUUGUAUGUGAGGAGCAGGAACUCCCUGAAGGAGAACCCCGGCCACUUCGUCAUCUUCCCCUUGGAUGUCGUACCGCCACAUCUGGCAGAUGUACAAGGAUCAGUCUGGACAGCGGAGGUGGUAGCAGGAGCUGCGGCGGUAUUUGUCCUGCAGGUGUCUUGAGCGGCUUGCCAGAUGCUUUGCGGGUGCCGGCCCCGUGCGAGUGUCUUGAGCGGCUUGCCAGAUGCUUUGCCGGUUGCAGCAGAAGAGCAGCAGCUCACUGAAGGAGAAGCCCGGUCACGUUGUCAUCUUCCCCAUCGAUGUCGUACCGCCACAUCUGGCAGAUGUGCAAGAAGUCAGAGGUCCUCUUCUGGACAGCAGAGGAGGCCAGAGUGAAGAAGAAAAGCAGCAGCUCGCUGACGGAGAACCCUGGCCACGUCGUCAUCUUCCCCUUGGAUGUCGUACCGCCACAUCUGCGAGAUGUACAAGAAGACUGAUGCAUACGUCGGGACAACGGAAGAGACUCUGACACGAGGGGCAUGGAGAAACCUGUUUUUUUUGUUGUUUUUUGAGGUUGUUCAUCGUUAAAGUACCAGUCUAAGGAGCUUGGAAAGAUGAGCUUCUAGAACUUGUAUGUGAGGAGCAGGAGCUCCCUGAAGGAGAACCCCGGCCACGUCGUCAUUUUUUUGAGGUUGUCCGUCGUCAAUGUACCAGUCUAAGGAGCUUGGAAAGAUGAGCUUCUAGAACUUGUAUGUGAGGAGCAGGAACUCCCUGAAGGAGAACCCCGGCCACUUCGUCAUCUUCCCCUUGGAUGUCGUACCGCCACAUCUGGCAGAUGUACAAGGAUCAGUCUGGACAGCGGAGGUGGUAGCAGGAGCUGCGGCGGUAUUUGUCCUGCAGGUGUCUUGAGCGGCUUGCCAGAUGCUUUGCGGGUGCCGGCCCCGUGCGAGUGUCUUGAGCGGCUUGCCAGAUGCUUUGCCGGUUGCAGCAGAAGAGCAGCAGCUCACUGAAGGAGAAGCCCGGUCACGUUGUCAUCUUCCCCAUCGAUGUCGUACCGCCACAUCUGGCAGAUGUGCAAGAAGUCAGAGGUCCUCUUCUGGACAGCAGAGGAGGCCAGAGUGAAGAAGAAAAGCAGCAGCUCGCUGACGGAGAACCCUGGCCACGUCGUCAUCUUCCCCUUGGAUGUCGUACCGCCACAUCUGCGAGAUGUACAAGAAGACUGAUGCAUACGUCGGGACAACGGAAGAGUCUAAGGAGCUUGGAAAGAUGAGCUUCUAGAACUUGUAUGUGAGGAGCAGGAGCUCCCUGAAGGAGAACCCCGGCCACGUCGUCAUUUUUUGAGGUUGUCCGUCGUCAAUGUACCAGACUAAGGAGCUUGGAAAGAUGAGCUUCUAGAACUUGUAUGUGAGGAGCAGGAACUCCCUGAAGGAGAACCCCGGCCACUUCGUCAUCUUCCCCUUGGAUGUCGUACCGCCACAUCUGGCAGAUGUACAAGGAUCAGUCUGGACAGCGGAGGUGGUAGCAGGAGCUGCGGCGGUAUUUGUCCUGCAGGUGUCUUGAGCGGCUUGCCAGAUGCUUUGCGGGUGCCGGCCCCGUGCGAGUGUCUUGAGCGGCUUGCCAGAUGCUUUGCCGGUUGCAGCAGAAGAGCAGCAGCUCACUGAAGGAGAAGCCCGGUCACGUUGUCAUCUUCCCCAUCGAUGUCGUACCGCCACAUCUGGCAGAUGUGCAAGAAGUCAGAGGUCCUCUUCUGGACAGCAGAGGAGGCCAGAGUGAAGAAGAAAAGCAGCAGCUCGCUGACGGAGAACCCUGGCCACGUCGUCAUCUUCCCCUUGGAUGUCGUACCGCCACAUCUGCGAGAUGUACAAGAAGACUGAUGCAUACGUCGGGACAACGGAAGAGACUCUGACACGAGGGGCAUGGAGAAACCUGUUUUUUUUGUUGUUUUUUGAGGUUGUUCAUCGUUAAAGUACCAGUCUAAGGAGCUUGGAAAGAUGAGCUUCUAGAACUUGUAUGUGAGGAGCAGGAGCUCCCUGAAGGAGAACCCCGGCCACGUCGUCAUUUUUUGAGGUUGUCCGUCGACAAUGUACCAGUCUAAGGAGCUUGGAAAGAUGAGCUUCUAGAACUUGUAUGUGAGGAGCAGGAGCUCCCUGAACGAGAACCCCGGCCACGUCGUCAUUUUUUUUAGGUUGUCCGUCGUCAAUGUACCAGUCUAAGGAGCUUGGAAAGAUGAGCUUCUAGAACUUGUAUGUAAGGAGCAGGAGCUCCCUGAAGGAGAACCCCGGCCACUUCGUCAUAUUCCCCUUGGAUGUCGUACCGCCACAUCUGGCAGAUGUACAAGGAUCAGUCUGGACAGCGGAGGUGGUAGCAGGAGCUGCGGCGGUAUUUGUCCUGCAGGUGUCUUGAGCGGCUUGCCAGAUGCUUUGCGGGUGCCGGCCCCGUGCGAGUGUCUUGAGCGGCUUGCCAGAUGCUUUGCCGGUUGCAGCAGAAGAGCAGCAGCUCACUGAAGGAGAAGCCCGGUCACGUUGUCAUCUUCCCCAUCGAUGUCGUACCGCCACAUCUGGCAGAUGUGCAAGAAGUCAGAGGUCCUCUUCUGGACAGCAGAGGAGGCCAGAGUGAAGAAGAAAAGCAGCAGCUCGCUGACGGAGAACCCUGGCCACGUCGUCAUCUUCCCCUUGGAUGUCGUACCGCCACAUCUGCGAGAUGUACAAGAAGACUGAUGCAUACGUCGGGACAACGGAAGAGACUCUGACACGAGGGGCAUGGAGAAACCUGUUUUUUUGUUGUUUUUUUGAGGUUGUUCAUCGUUAAAGUACCAGUCUAAGGAGCUUGGAAAGAUGAGCUUCUAGAACUUGUAUGUGAGGAGCAGGAGCUCCCUGAAGGAGAACCCCGGCCACGUCGUCAUUUUUUGAGGUUGUCCGUCGUCAAUGUACCAGUCUAAGGAGCUUGGAAAGAUGAGCUUCUAGAACUUGUAUGUGAGGAGCAGGAGCUCCCUGAACGAGAACCCCGGCCACGUCGUCAUUUUUUUUAGGUUGUCCGUCGUCAAUGUACCAGUCUAAGGAGCUUGGAAAGAUGAGCUUCUAGAACUUGUAUGUAAGGAGCAGGAGCUCCCUGAAGGAGAACCCCGGCCACUUCGUCAUAUUCCCCUUGGAUGUCGUACCGCCACAUCUGGCAGAUGUACAAGGAUCAGUCUGGACAGCGGAGGUGGUAGCAGGAGCUGCGGCGGUAUUUGUCCUGCAGGUGUCUUGAGCGGCUUGCCAGAUGCUUUGCGGGUGCCGGCCCCGUGCGAGUGUCUUGAGCGGCUUGCCAGAUGCUUUGCCGGUUGCAGCAGAAGAGCAGCAGCUCACUGAAGGAGAAGCCCGGUCACGUUGUCAUCUUCCCCAUCGAUGUCGUACCGCCACAUCUGGCAGAUGUGCAAGAAGUCAGAGGUCCUCUUCUGGACAGCAGAGGAGGCCAGAGUGAAGAAGAAAAGCAGCAGCUCGCUGACGGAGAACCCUGGCCACGUCGUCAUCUUCCCCUUGGAUGUCGUACCGCCACAUCUGCGAGAUGUACAAGAAGACUGAUGCAUACGUCGGGACAACGGAAGAGACUCUGACACGAGGGGCAUGGAGAAACCUGUUUUUUUGUUGUUUUUUUGAGGUUGUUCAUCGUUAAAGUACCAGUCUAAGGAGCUUGGAAAGAUGAGCUUCUAGAACUUGUAUGUGAGGAGCAGGAGCUCCCUGAAGGAGAACCCCGGCCACGUCGUCAUUUUUUUGAGGUUGUCCGUCGUCAAUGUACCAGUCUAAGGAGCUUGGAAAGAUGAGCUUCUAGAACUUGUAUGUGAGGAGCAGGAACUCCCUGAAGGAGAACCCCGGCCACUUCGUCAUCUUCCCCUUGGAUGUCGUACCGCCACAUCUGGCAGAUGUACAAGGAUCAGUCUGGACAGCGGAGGUGGUAGCAGGAGCUGCGGCGGUAUUUGUCCUGCAGGUGUCUUGAGCGGCUUGCCAGAUGCUUUGCGGGUGCCGGCCCCGUGCGAGUGUCUUGAGCGGCUUGCCAGAUGCUUUGCCGGUUGCAGCAGAAGAGCAGCAGCUCACUGAAGGAGAAGCCCGGUCACGUUGUCAUCUUCCCCAUCGAUGUCGUACCGCCACAUCUGGCAGAUGUGCAAGAAGUCAGAGGUCCUCUUCUGGACAGCAGAGGAGGCCAGAGUGAAGAAGAAAAGCAGCAGCUCGCUGACGGAGAACCCUGGCCACGUCGUCAUCUUCCCCUUGGAUGUCGUACCGCCACAUCUGCGAGAUGUACAAGAAGACUGAUGCAUACGUCGGGACAACGGAAGAGACUCUGACACGAGGGGCAUGGAGAAACCUGUUUUUUUUGUUGUUUUUUUGAGGUUGUUCAUCGUUAAAGUACCAGUCUAAGGAGCUUGGAAAGAUGAGCUUCUAGAACUUGUAUGUGAGGAGCAGGAGCUCCCUGAAGGAGAACCCCGGCCACGUCGUCAUUUUUUUGAGGUUGUCCGUCGUCAAUGUACCAGUCUAAGGAGCUUGGAAAGAUGAGCUUCUAGAACUUGUAUGUGAGGAGCAGGAACUCCCUGAAGGAGAACCCCGGCCACUUCGUCAUCUUCCCCUUGGAUGUCGUACCGCCACAUCUGGCAGAUGUACAAGGAUCAGUCUGGACAGCGGAGGUGGUAGCAGGAGCUGCGGCGGUAUUUGUCCUGCAGGUGUCUUGAGCGGCUUGCCAGAUGCUUUGCGGGUGCCGGCCCCGUGCGAGUGUCUUGAGCGGCUUGCCAGAUGCUUUGCCGGUUGCAGCAGAAGAGCAGCAGCUCACUGAAGGAGAAGCCCGGUCACGUUGUCAUCUUCCCCAUCGAUGUCGUACCGCCACAUCUGGCAGAUGUGCAAGAAGUCAGAGGUCCUCUUCUGGACAGCAGAGGAGGCCAGAGUGAAGAAGAAAAGCAGCAGCUCGCUGACGGAGAACCCUGGCCACGUCGUCAUCUUCCCCUUGGAUGUCGUACCGCCACAUCUGCGAGAUGUACAAGAAGACUGAUGCAUACGUCGGGACAACGGAAGAGACUCUGACACGAGGGGCAUGGAGAAACCUGUUUUUUUUGUUGUUUUUUUGAGGUUGUUCAUCGUUAAAGUACCAGUCUAAGGAGCUUGGAAAGAUGAGCUUCUAGAACUUGUAUGUGAGGAGCAGGAGCUCCCUGAAGGAGAACCCCGGCCACGUCGUCAUUUUUUUGAGGUUGUCCGUCGUCAAUGUACCAGACUAAGGAGCUUGGAAAGAUGAGCUUCUAGAACUUGUAUGUGAGGAGCAGGAACUCCCUGAAGGAGAACCCCGGCCACUUCGUCAUCUUCCCCUUGGAUGUCGUACCGCCACAUCUGGCAGAUGUACAAGGAUCAGUCUGGACAGCGGAGGUGGUAGCAGGAGCUGCGGCGGUAUUUGUCCUGCAGGUGUCUUGAGCGGCUUGCCAGAUGCUUUGCGGGUGCCGGCCCCGUGCGAGUGUCUUGAGCGGCUUGCCAGAUGCUUUGCCGGUUGCAGCAGAAGAGCAGCAGCUCACUGAAGGAGAAGCCCGGUCACGUUGUCAUCUUCCCCAUCGAUGUCGUACCGCCACAUCUGGCAGAUGUGCAAGAAGUCAGAGGUCCUCUUCUGGACAGCAGAGGAGGCCAGAGUGAAGAAGAAAAGCAGCAGCUCGCUGACGGAGAACCCUGGCCACGUCGUCAUCUUCCCCUUGGAUGUCGUACCGCCACAUCUGCGAGAUGUACAAGAAGACUGAUGCAUACGUCGGGACAACGGAAGAGACUCUGACACGAGGGGCAUGGAGAAACCUGUUUUUUUUGUUGUUUUUUUGAGGUUGUUCAUCGUUAAAGUACCAGUCUAAGGAGCUUGGAAAGAUGAGCUUCUAGAACUUGUAUGUGAGGAGCAGGAGCUCCCUGAAGGAGAACCCCGGCCACGUCGUCAUUUUUUUGAGGUUGUCCGUCGACAAUGUACCAGUCUAAGGAGCUUGGAAAGAUGAGCUUCUAGAACUUGUAUGUGAGGAGCAGGAGCUCCCUGAACGAGAACCCCGGCCACGUCGUCAUUUUUUUUAGGUUGUCCGUCGUCAAUGUACCAGUCUAAGGAGCUUGGAAAGAUGAGCUUCUAGAACUUGUAUGUAAGGAGCAGGAGCUCCCUGAAGGAGAACCCCGGCCACUUCGUCAUAUUCCCCUUGGAUGUCGUACCGCCACAUCUGCGAGAUGUACAAGAAGUCAGAGGUCCUCUUCUGGACAGCAGAGGAGGCCAGAGUGAAGAAGAAAAGCAGCAGCUCGCUGACGGAGAACCCUGGCCACGUCGUCAUCUUCCCCUUGGAUGUCGUACCGCCACAUCUGCGAGAUGUACAAGAAGACUGAUGCAUACGUCGGGACAACGGAAGAGACUCUGACACGAGGGGCAUGGAGAAACCUGUUUUUUUUGUUGUUUUUUUGAGGUUGUUCAUCGUUAAAGUACCAGUCUAAGGAGCUUGGAAAGAUGAGCUUCUAGAACUUGUAUGUGAGGAGCAGGAGCUCCCUGAAGGAGAACCCCGGCCACGUCGUCAUUUUUUUGAGGUUGUCCGUCGUCAAUGUACCAGUCUAAGGAGCUUGGAAAGAUGAGCUUCUAGAACUUGUAUGUGAGGAGCAGGAACUCCCUGAAGGAGAACCCCGGCCACUUCGUCAUCUUCCCCUUGGAUGUCGUACCGCCACAUCUGGCAGAUGUACAAGGAUCAGUCUGGACAGCGGAGGUGGUAGCAGGAGCUGCGGCGGUAUUUGUCCUGCAGGUGUCUUGAGCGGCUUGCCAGAUGCUUUGCGGGUGCCGGCCCCGUGCGAGUGUCUUGAGCGGCUUGCCAGAUGCUUUGCCGGUUGCAGCAGAAGAGCAGCAGCUCACUGAAGGAGAAGCCCGGUCACGUUGUCAUCUUCCCCAUCGAUGUCGUACCGCCACAUCUGGCAGAUGUGCAAGAAGUCAGAGGUCCUCUUCUGGACAGCAGAGGAGGCCAGAGUGAAGAAGAAAAGCAGCAGCUCGCUGACGGAGAACCCUGGCCACGUCGUCAUCUUCCCCUUGGAUGUCGUACCGCCACAUCUGCGAGAUGUACAAGAAGACUGAUGCAUACGUCGGGACAACGGAAGAGACUCUGACACGAGGGGCAUGGAGAAACCUGUUUUUUUUGUUGUUUUUUUGAGGUUGUUCAUCGUUAAAGUACCAGUCUAAGGAGCUUGGAAAGAUGAGCUUCUAGAACUUGUAUGUGAGGAGCAGGAGCUCCCUGAAGGAGAACCCCGGCCACGUCGUCAUUUUUUUGAGGUUGUCCGUCGUCAAUGUACCAGUCUAAGGAGCUUGGAAAGAUGAGCUUCUAGAACUUGUAUGUGAGGAGCAGGAACUCCCUGAAGGAGAACCCCGGCCACUUCGUCAUCUUCCCCUUGGAUGUCGUACCGCCACAUCUGGCAGAUGUACAAGGAUCAGUCUGGACAGCGGAGGUGGUAGCAGGAGCUGCGGCGGUAUUUGUCCUGCAGGUGUCUUGAGCGGCUUGCCAGAUGCUUUGCGGGUGCCGGCCCCGUGCGAGUGUCUUGAGCGGCUUGCCAGAUGCUUUGCCGGUUGCAGCAGAAGAGCAGCAGCUCACUGAAGGAGAAGCCCGGUCACGUUGUCAUCUUCCCCAUCGAUGUCGUACCGCCACAUCUGGCAGAUGUGCAAGAAGUCAGAGGUCCUCUUCUGGACAGCAGAGGAGGCCAGAGUGAAGAAGAAAAGCAGCAGCUCGCUGACGGAGAACCCUGGCCACGUCGUCAUCUUCCCCUUGGAUGUCGUACCGCCACAUCUGCGAGAUGUACAAGAAGACUGAUGCAUACGUCGGGACAACGGAAGAGACUCUGACACGAGGGGCAUGGAGAAACCUGUUUUUUUGUUGUUUUUUUGAGGUUGUUCAUCGUUAAAGUACCAGUCUAAGGAGCUUGGAAAGAUGAGCUUCUAGAACUUGUAUGUGAGGAGCAGGAACUCCCUGAAGGAGAACCCCGGCCACUUCGUCAUCUUCCCCUUGGAUGUCGUACCGCCACAUCUGGCAGAUGUACAAGGAUCAGUCUGGACAGCGGAGGUGGUAGCAGGAGCUGCGGCGGUAUUUGUCCUGCAGGUGUCUUGAGCGGCUUGCCAGAUGCUUUGCGGGUGCCGGCCCCGUGCGAGUGUCUUGAGCGGCUUGCCAGAUGCUUUGCCGGUUGCAGCAGAAGAGCAGCAGCUCACUGAAGGAGAAGCCCGGUCACGUUGUCAUCUUCCCCAUCGAUGUCGUACCGCCACAUCUGGCAGAUGUGCAAGAAGUCAGAGGUCCUCUUCUGGACAGCAGAGGAGGCCAGAGUGAAGAAGAAAAGCAGCAGCUCGCUGACGGAGAACCCUGGCCACGUCGUCAUCUUCCCCUUGGAUGUCGUACCGCCACAUCUGCGAGAUGUACAAGAAGACUGAUGCAUACGUCGGGACAACGGAAGAGACUCUGACACGAGGGGCAUGGAGAAACCUGUUUUUUUUGUUGUUUUUUUGAGGUUGUUCAUCGUUAAAGUACCAGUCUAAGGAGCUUGGAAAGAUGAGCUUCUAGAACUUGUAUGUGAGGAGCAGGAGCUCCCUGAAGGAGAACCCCGGCCACGUCGUCAUUUUUUUGAGGUUGUCCGUCGUCAAUGUACCAGUCUAAGGAGCUUGGAAAGAUGAGCUUCUAGAACUUGUAUGUGAGGAGCAGGAACUCCCUGAAGGAGAACCCCGGCCACUUCGUCAUCUUCCC